rnacentral:rRNA from 1 species
GACGUAGGGCGCGAGCGUUUGUCCGGAUUUAUUGGGCGUAAAGAGCUCGUAGGCGGCUUGUCGCGUCGAAUGUGAAAACUCGGGGCUCAACUCCGAGCUUGCAUUCGAUACGGGCAGGCUAGAGUUCGGUAGGGGAGACUGGAAUUCCUGGUGUAGCGGUGAAAUGCGCAGAUAUCAGGAGGAACACCGGUGGCGAAGGCGGGUCUCUGGGCCGAUACUGACGCUGAGGAGCGAAAGCGUGGGGAGCGAACAGG